CCUACGGGAGGCAGCAGUGAGGAAUAUUGGUCAAUGGCCGAGAGGCUGAACCAGCCAAGUCGCGUGAGGGAAGACGGCCCUACGGGUUGUAAAACUCUUUUGUCGGGGAGCAAAGCGAGUCACGUGUGACUCAUUGAGAGUACCCGAAGAAAAAGCAUCGGCUAACUCAGUGCCAGCCGCCGCGGUAAUACGGAGGAUGCGAGCGUUAUCCGGAUUUAUUGGGUUUAAAGGGUGCGCAGGCGGAGGUGCAAGUCAGCGGUCAAAUUGCGGGGCUCAACCCCGUACUGCCGUUGAAACUGCAUCCCUUGAGUGCGGGAGGAGUAUGCGGAAUGCGUGGUGUAGCGGGGAAAUGCAUAGAUAUCACGCAGAACUCCGAUUGCGAAGGCAGCAUACCGGCGCGCAACUGACGCUCAUGCACGAAAGCGUGGGUAUCGAACAGGAUUAGAUACCCUUGUAGUC
rnacentral:rRNA from 1 species